UUGAAUCUGAGGUUGUUUCUGUGGAGGAAGAAGAGUCAGGGCAUGUUAUGAGGUUCAAGAUGUCUGAUUUCAAGAUUCUUGAUCGUGUUAGCCUUGGCCUUGCUAGGCGGGUUGAUGAGGUUGUUUUUGAAGCCAUUGUGAAUGAUUCUAACAGCCCUUUGUAUAACACAAGAGUUGUGCUAGAAAACUAGAUGAAACGUAAGAUCAAUUGAGGAGUGAGUAACUUCUAUUGCUACUGGUAGUGCUUU